AUACUUUUUUCAGCCUUUUAGCUAAAAUCAAAUGUAGUAUUUGUUUUUAUCUGUUUAAUAUUUGAUAUGUGGGUCAUCAGCUCACUAUGAUAUUAAAUUAAUUUUUUUAUGAGGAAAGGGCUCAUCACAGUCACUUGCUAUUGGAAUCCUCGUGUGUUGGUCAUCCUUGUGUUGUACUAUUGUAUGGGCUUGGCGCACCCGAC